rnacentral:lncRNA from 1 species
UGCUAGUUGCCCCUGUUGAUGCAUGACAGUUUGUUUGUCCUAUGUAACCUUUUGCUUUUUCUUUUUUGAAUAUUUGUUGCCAGAGCCAGCCAUCAUUAUAACACAAUAUGCAAGGUUUUUUUUGUGCAUGUGUUAACCUGUCACCAGCAACAAUGUCAGGAUCUUGAAUAGAUAAAAAGCAUCCCAUUGCAUUGGAAUGCAAUUGAAUGCACUGCCAAUCGAGUUACGGAUCAUUAUCAAUUAUCAUCAUUUUCCCCUUUCUUCUUUAAAUAUCCUCGUGUACGCCCAUGUGAAUGUGGGUGUAUUCACGAGGACACACUUCAUACCCUAUCCCGUCUGGUGUGUUUUAACUCUUCAUCGGAUGGAUGGAGCAACUGUAGAUGCCUGGCUGUAUUUCCCAGGCACAAAAGUAGGACAAAAUUGAUCUCUAUUCUUCCUUUUUGACAAUUUUUGGUGGGGUUGAUUAUAAAUCGUUAGUACGUAGUCAAGGAGUAUGUUUAUUCCUGAGCUAGACAGUUGACUGCAACUGUUUUCUCUCUCCGUUUUGGUUUUUUCUCAGUCAGGUUUACUGAAAAUCUCAUUUGUCGAACGACUGCAGAUUAGGUUUGUUUUGUUUUGAACCUAACAACUUUGUCUGUGGGUAGAAAACUAUCGCAUUCGAAAAUAUUUGAACUUGAACACUUGAAGCCAAUUGCAACAAGACCAAUUUUUUGACCAAGAGGGACAUGCCGCCACACCGGCACCUCCGCGUUCGCCCUCUCUUAUGUAAAUGUUAUCUCCAUUAACCCUUGCACAGUAUACAGACACACUCCGGUGUCUUGAGGAUUCCAUAUCGACUAUAUACGGAGAAAUAGAUCAGAAAAUCGGGAGCGAUUUGGCAUUGAGCUCACGUUUUGUCGUUGGCUGCUGGGGAGGAGUGGGUGGAAUAAAAGAGAAGGGGGAAGGAGGAUCGUGUAAAUAUAUCCAUCGGUAUCUCGUCGGUGGUAGGCCAUUAUUCAAAUGCCAAGCUGACGAGACUAGGCCUCAAAUACGAGUCCAGGGGAUCAUGUGUGUAAGAUCGGGUUUUGAUACCGCCACACAACGCAUUUUAUUACGGACUAGACGUCUAGGAUAACGCUUGAUUUUUGGGUUGAAAAAGGUCGUUUAUGCAGAGUUUGAUGGCGUCAUGUGACAUUAACUUUGAGACGAGUUACACCUCGAUGCAAUCUAUACAGACUUAUGCAUACGUACCGUGAAUAAUGCAUACCUGCGCAAAGUGUGUGUUAACAACUUCAAAUGACAACGUUUCCGUUGGUCUAUAUUGUACACGGUAAAAUAUGGAAACAAUGGCGUUGCAAUUUCUUUAUUUCGUUAGAAACGUGAGUUUUCUGCAGGCGUUAAUAAACUAGACUGUUCUUGUUUGCAUACGAAUAUAAUUAAAAUUCGGCAAUGUAAUCUCAGGUCAUGUGUCUAGUCCCAGAUUUUUCUUUUUUCUUCUUUGAUAUCAAAGUCAAAUGUCGGAAAAGUCAAAAGUCAAAUGAAAUGUCGGGAUGAGAUAUUGGAAAAGAGUUAAGUGGGAACUGAUGCGGAGCCCAAUGGCCGCCGCCGCCCUCCACCAUUUUCACAAAGUUCUCCAAUUGAUGGGCUGGCAUUUUUCUGGUUCAUAUUUUGUCCAACCGAGUGGGAGUAGCUCUUCGAUUAAUAUCUUUCAAACCGAUUUUUCGUUUUUCUAUACAUCGCGACAUCAUAUCUUCCCCCCUUUUUUAUGUAGAUGUAUAAGUGUGCGGAAAAGAUCGCAUUAGUUCUCCCGACGACUGCACCGUGGCUCUUAUUAAUCACUUUUUUCUUUUCCCUCCCGCAUAAAUUGUUCACUCGACGAAAUCUAUUUCAGACGAACAGAUUUCCGCGAUGGGGCCACACAGCCACACACACACGCCCUUUUGAUGGAUGCCGGAUAUAUUAUAGAUAUGUUUGGCCGACAGAUCGUACGCGGACGGGACCUGUUUGUAGUACAGAUUAAUGCACGACACUCUCUUUUUUUUCUUUUCCCGCGAUCCUCCCAUCGUCCGCACUUUUACACACACACGGAAAAAAUAGGGGGGGGCUGGACAUGGCGCUUGCCCCUUUAUUUUUCUUAUGAUUCUCCAGUUGGAAAAAAAUGGGGAGCCAGCAGAGAAUAUCGGGUCGCGAGUCAAAGCUCUAUAGCUGUUAAAGAAUGAUUGCCGACAGCCCGUUUAUCAUCGUGUUAGCGUUCGGACGACGUCGGCGACGACGACCGCCGAGUAGGAGGGGUGGGAGAGCGUCGUUACACACAGACCGAGGCGUCGGUCUCCGCCCUUUGCGUUCUUGGGACAAUAUAUAUAUAACCCAUAUAUUGUGCAGAAGAUAGAAGCUUCUUCUUCUUUUUAUAUAGAUCCGCCCCAGCGGCAGCAGCAUCCGCAUUUCGACCAGAUUAGACCAACAAGCGCAGUGAGCUCUUUUUUUUUUUCUUCUUCUUCUUCACCAGGAUUUACCUUCCAUCACGAAUGAUGACCAUAUACACGCGGUCGUGAAAAGACAAAAAAAGGGGAAAAAAAUAAAAACGAGCCGUCGACAGCAGUCGGACAAUAAAAUUUGCGCGUGAAACGUCCCCCCUUUUUCUUUUUCUUAUCUUCCGCCUACGCGAAUUAUCUCAAAAUCUCAAAAGAUCGUUCAAAUAAUUUCCCCGCUAUUAUUCGGAAUGUAUAUAUGCCCACUGGGGUGCGAUCUAAUUGACCGCUUCGUGGAGUGUGUACAAAUUUCUCGACACACACACACACACAAUAAGGAAAUCGUCUUCCGGGGUCUCCCCUCCGUCCGUUUAUGUUAAAACGAGUCAAUCUCAUUCAUGAACAAUAGCCAGAAAGGGGAGUGGGGUGUCUGGGCUCUUAUAUAACUGACCCCACUGGUCGUCUAUAUUGGUUUCUUAUAAACACACACACACACAGAGAGGGGAGGAGAGGGCGACGAAGAGCAUCAAAGAGCGGAGGAUCUAGCGAGAAGAAAAAAGGGUCGGCAAGAUUCCUUCAUUAGAAACUAGGAGCCUAUAUAGGAGCCGACUUGGGAGCUUUAUAUAAUAAUAUGAAAAGGGCGACAACAAGCGCGCACAUAAGAAAAAACGUUAGGGGUGUGUGUGUGUGUGUGUAUAGCGCUGGCUGAACAUUCAACCCAAAAGGGCAGGCUCGUUCGGUCUCACCCUGUUGUGUGUGUGUGUGCGAGAGCUUAAUGAAAAAUAAUGUGCACCUUCCACAACCAGCGAAAGACUUCCUCUCUUGCGCGUCGUCGUCGUCGUCGUUGCUUUUCUCUCUCCCUCGGCAGUCUCUAUUGUAUUGGCCGGAGAGAGCGUCGUCGUCGGCGUCGGUUAGACUAUUGCUCCGGCCGCUGCUGUUGUGCCCUUCUAUUAUUGUUGGCAUCUUCAUCUAGAUUUUAUUUACGAACCCAAACACACACCCGCAGAGAGCGAGAGAAGCCAAUAAUAACCUCAAAAAAUAAUAAUAA